ensembl:lncRNA
UUCUGAUUUAGUUGGGCUGAGGUAAGUUUCCAUUUCUAAAAAGCUCGCAGGUGAUGCCAGUUCUGCUGGUCCUCAGAUACAUUUCGAGUAGCAAGGACAGAAAGAAUGAUAACAUUCUACAUAUAUUAUCUUCCAUUUAAAAGUUUUCUUAAUUAUGUACUUCUAGAUAGACAAUUGAAGCUAGAUUUGAUUAUUCUUAGGUGAAAAAUUUGUCAUCUUAUAAUUUGUUUGAUAGAUUACUGUAAAGCAAAAGUAAACAAACCCUAACAAUUAUUGAAGAUACUUCACAAGGACUACAUGUUUAAAAAUCCUAAACUGGAAACUUUGACUCAGCUGUCAAAAUCUAUAAUAAAUGCAUACUUUAGGACAUACUAAUCCGUCUUCCCCAAACGAGUUGUGAAAUAGGAAUUGCUUUAGCAUACAUUUCCACUGAUGGCAAGUUACUUCACUUAAUUAUAUGGUCCUUAAACCGGCUCUUUAUUUUGUAAAUUCCAGGAUAAUCCUAGGUUGAGAGCUAAUAAUUUCACCUACCAUAAGAAGACUGAUUAACUGUCCAGAACUGAAAAAAACCCCAAAAGAAGAUUUCUUGCCAGAAUUGUUUAGGAUCUGUUCUGUCUGGUGGGCUGCUAGGUGCUAAUCUAGUUAAGUGAAUUAAAGCUUCAGGAGAUAAUACUCCCAGAAUGGGCUUAAAUGUGAUCCACCCCAUUGCCAAAAAGAGAUCCUUUGUAUCCUCCAGUUAACCAUUGGCCUCCUGGACUCCUCUUAAGAACCAAGUGGUGCAUGCGUGUGUGCCAAAUCACAUCAGUCAUGUCCAGCUCUUUGCGACCCUAUGGACAGUAGCCCACCAGACUCUUCUGUCCAUGGGAUUCUCCAGGCAAGAAUACUGGAGUAGGUUGCCAUGCCCUCCUCCAGAGAGUCUUCCUGACCCAGGGAUCAAAUUCUCCUUACCUCCCAUGUCUCCCGCACUGGCAGUCGGUGUCUUUUCCACUAGCACCACCUGGGAACCCCCAGAAUCAAAUGGUGAGAUUCUCUGAGUGAGUGUAGUUGAUUAAGAGUAAGCAAAUUCAAGCAUAAUCAUCCCACUAUGAGCUUGUUUUCUUUUCAAAUCCAGGAAAGUUUUAAAUAACGUAAGGCUAUGUGUAACAUUCACUAAUAUUUCAUCAGCCUGUGCUUUUGGAGGCAUGAAUUGUCUUUAGUCCAAACUGAAAAUGUUGACAAAUAUCCUAGGUCAAUGGUUGUUGGCUCUUCCAAACAGAAUAAUUAUAAUAAUACAUAUGUACAGCUAACUUUUAUGGUGCCCUUCCUCUGUGCCAAGGCUUGUUCUAC